rnacentral:rRNA from 1 species
GACGAACCGUGCGAACGUUAUUCGGAAUCACUGGGCUUAAAGCGCGUGUAGGCGGAUGGGAACGUCGGUAGUUGAAAGCCCCCGCUCAACCGGGGAAGUGGUGCCGAAACGACCCGUCUGGAGGGACGUAGGGGGACCUGGAACUUCCGGUGGAGCGGUGAAAUGCGUAGAGAUCGGAAAGAACACCAACGGCGAAAGCACUCUGCUGGGCCGACACUGACACUGGAGAGACGAAAGCUAGGGGAGCGAAUGGG